rnacentral:rRNA from 1 species
GACGGGGGAUGCAAGUGUUAUCCGGAAUCACUGGGCGUAAAGCGUCUGCAGGUAGUUUCCUAAGUCCACUGUUAAACCUUGAGGCUCAACCUCAAAUCUGCAUUGGAAACUAGGAGACUUGAGUAUAGUAGGGGUAGAGGGAAUUUCCAGUGGAGCGGUGAAAUGCGUAGAUAUUGGAAAGAACACCGAUGGCGAAGGCACUCUACUGGGCUAUUACUGACACUCAGAGACGAAAGCUAGGGGAGCAAAUGGG